rnacentral:rRNA from 1 species
UACGAAGGGGGCUAGCGUUGCUCGGAAUCACUGGGCGUAAAGCGCACGUAGGCGGCUUCUUAAGUCAGGGGUGAAAUCCUGGAGCUCAACUCCAGAACUGCCUUUGAUACUGAGAAGCUUGAGUCCGGGAGAGGUGAGUGGAACUGCGAGUGUAGAGGUGAAAUUCGUAGAUAUUCGCAAGAACACCAGUUGCGAAGGCGGACCGACUGGACACAUAUUGACGCUGAGGCUCGAAAGCAUGGGGGAGCAAACAGGG